CUUUCGAGUGGGGGAGGUAUUAGACAAUCGUUGAAAAAGGCUCGCUCUUCGAAUCUCGCUGCAUAUCAGCGCCGAUAUUUCGAAGAGAACGAUCUACUCUUGGUUAUACUUUCUUUCGACACAUCAGGACAUUCUCAAUAUCACACAAUGCGUUUCCUUUUGUUAAUCACUGCUGUCGUUUGGCACGUGUCAAGUUCAGACGCAAUGGCGGUCCAACCGAACCAGUCGGAGGCUCUUCGAGCAGUCACGCAAAGUGCAAACACUUUUUCGCCGAACUUUUUCAAGAAAGUCGCUGAGGAAAAGAAAGGCAAUCUCAUUUGCUCACCAUUGAGUGCUUCGAUGGUUCUGUCAAUGGUGGCGUACGGUGCGCGUGGAAAUACCGAAAAACAAAUGCGGUCGGUUCUCGCCCUCCCGGAAAAGGACGAAGUCGCGAAGAGCGGAUUCCAGGCUUUCAUUGACAGUUUUAAAAACUACAAACAGGUCGAAUUGCGUUUAGCGAACAAGAUAUUCCUCGCCGAAGGAUUCACGCCCAAGGCCGAAUACAACGAGAUGACUAAAACGGGCUUCCGCUCGGAAGCGCAGAAAGUGAAUUUCGGUAAAGCAGCCGAGGCCAGCAAGACCAUCAACGACUGGUGCGAGGCUCAGACGAACAAUCGAAUCAAGGAUCUCAUCUCGCCUAAUGAUCUCGACCCGAUGACCGCUAUGGUUCUCGUCAACGCCGUGUACUUCAAGGGCAACUGGGCUGAAAAGUUCGACGUUGCAAACACAAAACCUCGUCCUUUCAACGUUGACGCGACGACGAAAAAAGACGUGCCGACUAUGUUCAGAUCUGGUUCCUACAAUUACGGUGUUCUCGAAGAUGUCAAGGCCAAAUUCGUCGAAAUUCCAUACAAGAGCGAGGGAGCAAACGACGCGAUGAGCAUGUUCGUCGUUCUGCCCGACGCGGUCGAUGGCCUGGCCGAAUUGGAGAAAAACAUUGAAAAGGUCACCGUAGAAAAGCUUCUGAGCGGUAGCCGACGCGAUGUCAAUCUUUACUUGCCGAAAUUCAAAAUCGAGAGCGAAAUUCCGCUCAAUUCGGUUCUCCAGAAAAUGGGAAUGACCGACAUGUUUACCGACAGUGCUAAUUUCUCCGGCAUUUCCGAUGCAUCUCUCGCGGUGAGCAAAGUUCUCCAAAAGGCGUUCAUCGAAGUCAACGAAGAGGGUAGCGAAGCCGCUGCAGCGACCGGCGUGCAAGUUAUGCUGCUUAGUAUUCGUCCCACUUUACCUUCCAUCGACUUCAACGUUGACAGGCCGGCCCACUUCAUUAUAGCAACUCGUUCACAAGAUCAGCAUACCAUACUCUUCAGGGGAUCUAUUCGCGAACUGCCCGUCAAUUAAAUUCACAUAAAAUGAUACAACUUUUUUAAACCACGACACGUCUUAUGACAAAUUUUCAAGAAAACAGAAUCAUAGCUGUACCAACAUCUUUAAUAAUCAUGCCUCCACCUAAGCCCAUCGAGUUCAACGUGGAUCAUCCAUCGAUGUUCAUUAUAGCAACCAAUGACGCUGUUCUGUUCAUAGCUGCUCUGGACCAGCCAUCAAC
rnacentral:misc_RNA from 1 species